AGGUGUGCAAUAAGGCAUAUCCUCGUGGGAUCGCUGUAUUGAUGGCAGUGUAUAAAGGUGUGGAGCACUGCCUCUCCCAGACUCUCCUAUCCGAGCUUCUGGUCAUGUUUGGGGCAUCUUAUAAUGCAAAAAGAAGUCAGACAACUUUCCCGGUGGAGUCUUUUAGAAGAAGCACCUGCAGACUUUCUCCUGUUGGGAAACGUGUGGCUGCUUUUAUGUCUUUGUGAGUGACAUGAGCAUGCCUGGCAGGCGCACAGUGUACUGUGUCAGAAACUUAACGCUGGACAGAGAAGACACAGGCUAACAAGACCCUGUGAAGCACCUAAUUGGUAGUUCUGUCGUGCAGACUCUCAUUCUCUCCUCAUCCACCCCUCCUCCAUCUGCAUCACAUCCAGCCCCUGAAGGACACAUACGCAUGAGGGGAAGCAAACGACAUGCAUAUGAAGUCAAGCAAACCGUUCACACAAUAUUGGCACGUAGCUAUGUGUACGAUACGAGAUGUUUGCACGUGUUUGGCGGAGCCCUACGUGUUCAUUAAAAGUCUGCGGCUGAUCCCACUUUGUCUUUGUCUUUUCUCUGUCUGUCUCUCCAGCUGCAUUUCUCGUUCUGUCCUUCUUUUCCUACACCUGUGGCCUGUGCGUCAUCCUACUAAUUCCAGUUUCAAGGUCAGCGCUGUGCAGCUCUGAGCUGAUCCCAUUGGCUCUGUGAGUCCACACUGUGACGCCACACCACAUCCAGAUUCAUUAAAACAGCACAUCCAUCUGUACUUUCUCCACUCGCAAACAACACACUGCCAGCCUUUACCUUGCACUCUCCCAACCAGUGACUUGACACCUAAUUCUGCAUCCAGACCUCAUGCUACGUGAGCCUAAUUUCAACGUGUCUUAGCGUCUUUUAUUAUUUAUACUUGUUUCUUAUAUAUUCAUCCUUCGCCAUGUUGCAUACGUUUAGA